GACGAACGCUGGCGGCGUGCCUAAUACAUGCAAGUCGAACGCUUUUUCUUUCACCGGAGCUUGCUCCACCGAAAGAAAAAGAGUGGCGAACGGGUGAGUAACACGUGGGUAACCUGCCCAUCAGAAGGGGAUAACACUUGGAAACAGGUGCUAAUACCGUAUAACACUAUUUUCCGCAUGGAAGAAAGUUGAAAGGCGCUUUUGCGUCACUGAUGGAUGGACCCGCGGUGCAUUAGCUAGUUGGUGGGGUAACGGCUCACCAAGGCGACGAUGCAUAGCCGACCUGAGAGGGUGAUCGGCCACACUGGGACUGAGACACGGCCCAGACUCCUACGGGAGGCAGCAGUAGGGAAUCUUCGGCAAUGGACGAAAGUCUGACCGAGCAACGCCGCGUGAGUGGAGAAGGUUUUCGGAUCGUAAAACUCUGUUGUUAGAGAAGAACAAGGAUGAGAGUAGAACGUUCAUCCCUUGACGGUAUCUAACCAGAAAGCCACGGCUAACUACGUGCCAGCCGCCGCAGUAA
rnacentral:rRNA from 1 species